GACGAACGCUGGCGGCGUGCUUAACACAUGCAAGUCGAACGAGAGCGUAGAGAAAGCUUGCUUUUUCUACAAUCUAGUGGCAAACGGGUGAGUAACGCGUAAACAACCUACCCUACGGAUGGGGACAACAGAUGGAAACGGCUGCUAAUACCGAAUACGUGACGAAAGUGGCAUGAAUAUCGGAAGAAAGGAUGGCCUCUAUUUAUAAGCUAUCGCCGGUGGAGGGGUUUGCGUCUGAUUAGAUAGUUGGGGGAGUAAAGGCCCACCAAGGCGACGAGUAGUUGCCCGACUGGGAGGAGGAACGGCCCAAUUGGAACCGGGACCACGUUCAGACUCCUACCGGAGGCAGCAGUGGGGAGUCUUCCGCAAGGGGCGGAAGCCUGACGGAGCAACGCCGCGGUAGGGCAGACGGCCUUCGGGUUGUAAAGCUCUGUUAUACGGGACGAAUAAUCUUGUUGUUAAUACCCAUGCGAAGUGACGGUACCGUAUCAGAAAGCCACGGCUAACUACGUG
rnacentral:rRNA from 1 species